UACGUAGGGUGCGAGCGUUGUCCGGAAUUACUGGGCGUAAAGAGCUUGUAGGCGGUCUGUCGCGUCGAUUGUGAAAUCUUGCAGCUCAACUGCAAGCCUGCAGUCGAUACGGGCAGACUAGAGUACUUCAGGGGAGACUGGAAUUCCUGGUGUAGCGGUGAAAUGCGCAGAUAUCAGGAGGAACACCGGUGGCGAAGGCGGGUCUCUGGGAAGUAACUGACGCUGAGGCACGAAGGCCAGGGGAGCAAACGGG
rnacentral:rRNA from 1 species